ensembl:lncRNA
ACACAUUCCUCAGCUCGGCUCUGCCUGCGCACUGCUACUGGGAGGGGCAGGAGCAACAUCACUCAAACACGCUUAUUAGGAAACAUCAUGACACCCUGUGACGCACUGCUGAACUUCUGGGGACUGGAGAGCAUGAAUCAGAAGCACUACUGGUCCUUGAAAAAGAUACGCCUCGAGAAAGAACAUCAAGUACUGGCCCAACAGAACCGUGAAGGGGACUGCCACUGAUUGCCUUUAUUGUUUUGACAUCCUAUAUUGCGGCGGGUGUUGCGUAUCUUUUUCAAGGACCAGUAGCGCUUCUGAUUCAUGCUCUCCAGUCCCCAGAAGUUCAGCAGUGCGUCACAGGGUGUCAUGAUGUUUCCUCAUAAGCGUGUUUGAGUGAUGUUGCUCCUGCUGGCCAUCCUGUGAACUUAAAA